rnacentral:snRNA from 1 species
ACCACCCUCGGGUGGGAUCCAUUAAAAUUGGAACGAUACAGAGAAGAUUAGCAGUAGUCCCUGCGCAAGGAUGACCACUAAAGCACGAGAAGUAACAACAUUUUUU